GGCAGUAUAGCAGAGGUUCAAACUCAAACGAUAUAGGUAUCACUGCGGCAGAGUAUAUCCUUCUUCGCGACAUUGAGUUCUAGUGUCUUGCAUAAUCUGUUGAAGUAGACUGGGGUUGCUUGUGACGACAGCAUCUACCCGCUCAAACAACAUUCUUCGCAUGGAAUCCACAUCAUCAACAGUCCAAGCAUACACCGUUUUGUUCCUCCCAUGCAGAAUUCUCAUGAGUUUUUC
rnacentral:misc_RNA from 1 species